CCUACGGGGGGCUGCAGUCGAGAAUCAUUCGCAAUGGGCGCAAGCCUGACGAUGCGACGCUGCGUGAGCGAUGAAGGCCUUCGGGUCGUAAAGCUCUUUCGCUUAAGAACAAGGAAAGGUAGCGAAUAACUACCGGACUUGAGGGUACUAAGUAAAGAAGCACCGGCUAACUCCGUGCCAGCAGCUGCGGUAAUACGGAGGGUGCAAGCGUUAAUCGGAUUUAUUGGGCGUAAAGGGGGCGUAGGCUGGAAGGAAAGUCAACCCGUGAAAUCCCAGGGCUCAACCCUGGAACUGCGGUUGAAACUUCCUUUCUUGAGGGUAGACGGAGAAAACAGAAUUCCACAAGUAGCGGUGAAAUGCGUAGAUAUGUGGAAGAAUACCGGUGGCGAAAGCGGUUUUCUAGUUUAUACCUGACGCUGAGGCCCGAAAGCUAGGGGAGC
rnacentral:rRNA from 1 species